CUAUUUUUAUCUUUUCGUUCUUUAAAUGAGAAUGGCGUCGGUCUGACGGGGGUUCUAGGUUUACUGUAACACAGAUGAGAUUUUGACUUUUGAUUAUUGCAGGGGAGCUAAUUGGAGAUUAAAUAGUCAGAAUUUCGAUUUGGGCUGGACAUUGGCGGUGGGAGGUUAAUUUAAGUAGGUGUUGAAUCAGGCGAUAAUGGGAUUAGGAUUUCAUCAUGUGGCCAUGGAUUUUCCCAUCGUGAAAACUGAAAACUCAGCAGAAGAUGGAUGGAUGCUUAGCGGGGUGACGUAGCAGUGUGAUUGACUUGAAAAGGAAAUGAAUGGUGCCCAAGAUGGAUGUAAUUUUUGGCUGCUUAAUUUUCAUGGCCAUCCAACUGCAAUAGCAUACUAUGCAUCUGCAUGCAUGCAUAUUCUAUCAAAAUGAAUGAUCAGCUUUUGGGCACUGUCUGAUCUUGCAUGCAUGCAUAUUCUGUGCUCAAAGUACAGCUUUACUUCAUUGGUUCAUACGGAUGGAUGGUUUGCAUUGGCUGUGAUAAAUAUUGGAAUAGUCCUAGAUUGAUAGUCGCCCACUUCUGUCAUUAUCAUUUUCCCUUUCUGGCUCGGAGUUGUUCCUCAUUUGCAUAGGACUGGGAAGUGACUUUGCACGACCAAGUACGUGCAGGAAAGCAAUAAAUUACCAUUAUUUAUUUAUGUACGAAAAGUAAUAUUACUGUCUUUUUUUUUUAGAAAAAUGAUUUGUAAAAUAUAGGACAUGCUUGUUAUAGCCCAUGUUAUAUUUAUAAAGUUAAUUUAGAA